rnacentral:rRNA from 1 species
AGUGAACGCUGGCGGUAGGCCUAACACAUGCAAGUCGAACGGCAGCACAGUAAGAGCUUGCUCUUACGGGUGGCGAGUGGCGGACGGGUGAGGAAUACAUCGGAAUCUACUUUUUCGUGGGGGAUAACGUAGGGAAACCUACGCCAAUACCGCAUACGACCUACGGGUGAAAGCAGGGGAUCUUCGGACCUUGCGCGAUUGAAUGAGCCGAUGUCGGAUUAGCUAGUUGGGGGGGUAAAGGCCCACCAAGGCGACGAUCCGUAUCUGGUCUGAGAGGAGGAUCGGCCACACUGGAACUGAGACACGGUCCAGACUCCUACGGGAGGAAGCAGUGGGGAAUAUUGGACAAGGAGCGCAAGCCGGAUCCAGACAUACCGCGUGGGUGAAGAAGGCCUUCGGGUUGUAAAGCCCUUUUGUUGGGAAAGAAAAGCAGCAGGUUAAUACCCCGCUGUUCUGACGGUACCCAAAGAAUAAGCACCGGCUAACUUCGUG